UACGUAGGGUGCAGGCGUUAAUCGGAAUUACUGGGCGUAAAGCGUGCGUAGGCGGUUUGUUAAGACAGGUGUGAAAUCCCCGGGCUUAACCUGGGAACUGCGCUUGUUACUGGCAGACUGGAGUGUGGCAGAGGGGGGGUGGAAUUCCAGGUGUAGCAGUGAAAUGCGUAGAUAUCUGGAGGAACACCGAUGGCGAAGGCAGAUCUCUGGGCCGUAACUGACGCUGAGAAGCGAAAAGCAUGGGGAGCAAACAGG
rnacentral:rRNA from 1 species